AAACAAUUCCCACCAAGAAGAAAAAAAACACAAAUGGAAGCAAGGACCAUUCGUCAAUACAAGAAUUUACUGAUUGUUAACUGAAAAAAAGAAAAUUAUUAACUGCAACUUAUAAUUAGAUAGGCCAUUAUAUCAAGUUGUUUAACACAUGACGGACCUAUUUUAACAGAAAAACCAUUCAUGAGCUAGCACAGUUUUGGAAAUACGGAAUUCUACAUUCAGAUAGAAAGUAGACUUGAAACUAGGAGAAAGUAUAACCAGAUCAAACUCCACUAAAUUGAACUAGACAACCCAGAUGCUUUAGUCGCCACAAAGUUCCACAGAGUUAUUUGAAGCUACUACAACCUCUUCCACCAUCUCUUCCUCGACCUCAUCACCAUCAUCUGAUAUGACCUCCCACUCCUCCUCCUCGCUAUAAUGGUACAAUGGAUACCUCUGAGGAGGAGGGCUUGAUAUCUCAUCAUCUGGAUACUUAAAAGCAAGCUGGUACCCACACCCGCACAACUCCUCGACCAGCUUAUUAUAUUCUUUUACACUUAGGAACACAUUGUGCAUCAGAAGGUCCUGUGAUUGUGGUAAUCGUAUAAUUGCAAUUGUAAGAGUUAGACCAACUAAUUAGCCACGUGCAUGCACAGUUUUAGGGCCCCGUUGGGAUUGCUUUGUGUCUAAAAAAAUCAGCUUUUAUUUAUAAUUUUUAGAUUUUGAAGUGUUUGGUCCUGUCUCCAGACCCUAUUUAAGUAUUUAUAAGAGAACAUAGGUCUUGCAGAUACAAUACAGUUUCAACUCCUAAACCUAAGUAUAUUACAAAUCCUAAUAGAACCUGGAAAGACCAACUUUCUUUUCUAGACUUGGACUUGGAUUUGCCUGCUGAAUACUACUGUUCCAGAUUGUAUCAAACGAGCCAAAAAUACAACAAUCUCCACGUGCACGCAAAGUUUUAGGCCUAUUUGAAAUUGUUUUGUUUUUCGAAAAAAAAUUAGCUUCUGUUUAAAUCUUUUAUUUUAAAGUUUUGGCAAAUCAAGGGAAAACAGUUUUUGUUUUUUGUUUUUGAUUACAUGUCACAGGCAGCAGAUUUUAGAAACAAACCUUAUAAGUUGUUUGUUUAAAAUUAAAGUUAAAACAUACCGUUAGAGUCAUCAGAUUCAUCCCUCAAAACUAGAUUGUCCAUCAUAUGACGAACUUCAGAUUUACUUGGAGCAUGCUUCACACAUAUCAAAGAAUCACUAUAAGCUUUACUCGCACCAAAACCUCCUUUCAAAGCAUCAUCCUUUUCCACUAAAGAAGCUCCUGUGGCAAGUGUUAUAAGAGUUAUGCAAAACUAACCCCAAACAACAAUCUCAUAAACAAUCUUAUCAAAAAAAAAACAAAAUCACAUGAACAAAAGCAUAAGUAGAUUAUAGAUGUACCAUUAGAGUGGUCUUUCAGAUUUAGAUCUUGAAUCAAAUGACAAGCUUCUGAUUCCAUAGUCAUGUCUUUCGUAACAAAUUAUCAAUAUGACCAAUUGUAGAAGAAAAUAAAAUAAAAAAAAUAGUAUAGAACAGAAAUACCUAUCUGUUAACCUAAAGUCCUAAAUUCAACAUCAUUGCUCUUAAUUGAAUUCUACUGAGAUUUCUAAAAACUAACUGAUGGCUUACAAAGUGAAGGUCUCAAGUAGAAUACACCAGUGUAAAUUCUAUGGAAAAGAAUUACUUGUGAGUUUGUGACAACUAAAAAUCAUUCAACCAAGUUCUAAAUUAUUCUAAAUAAAAGAAGCCUAGGAGAUGACGAAAGAAAAAUUCACACAAUAAAAUAACACAAUUUUACAAAAUAAAACUCAGAACAAUUCAAUCAACAUAAGACGGGAAAACAGCGGAGCUUAAUCCAUUCUAUAAGAUCGAGCUCAUAGACCCGAUCGAACACAUGCACAAUAAAUCAAAUUCGAAGACAAAGCAGAUCAAAAUCGGACAAUAGAAUUUUUAAGAAGAAAAGACAUAAUAAUCAAUCAGAUCAGAAGGAAUAAGGGACAGCAAUUAUAACAAAAACAAUUUAAUUUGAGGAAGAAAAGACAAGAUAAUCAUGAGAUGAGAGUUAGGGUUCUGAAGGAGACUUAC
rnacentral:lncRNA from 1 species